rnacentral:tRNA from 5 species
CGGGAUGUAGCGCAACUUGGUAGCGCACCUGUUUUGGGUACAGGGGGUUGCAGGUUCAAAUCCUGUCAUCCCGACCA